GGUUUAUUGAGAGACUUAAAUAGGAACAACUGCUAGACCACAUUGUGUCAACCUCCCACGAUGACUACAUACAUUGUCUUCCCAUAGAAAAUAGGGUUUAUGGGGAAAAGAGAUUAAAAAAAAAAAUCUUGUACAUUAAUUUUCCUUGCAAUCUGAAAGUCAGCAAGUGGCAAAAACAUGCUCUGUGCCUUGAUAUGCCACAGAUCAAGACAAGACAUGCCAGGAACAGAAAGACUUAAAGAACAGAAGACUUUACGUGAAGCAAAGAGAACCUUAAAUAUCAUGGAUUAAUGCCGGAUUGGUCAACGGAAGUUUUGGACCUUAGCUGCCAGAGAGCUGCGUGCAUGGUGUUACCAUCACAUCCACUGAAUGUGCUGGAGCUUUCCUGUCAAGGUUUUAAUUUCCUGCCAGUGAUUUUAUUUUUAAUUUUUUUGAGACAUUAGAAGAUCUUUAGCCAUGACUGUGUAUCAGCAGCUGAAAGAAUUUGUGAGGAUGAACGUAACUAUUUGCUCCAAAAAACCUACAUAGCUCUUUUCACUCCUUUUGACAAGUAUCCAUGAAUACAUUUAAGUUUUAGAGAGCCCUGGAGUAGUUCUUACUGCUGUAUUUGACCAGCGCAUUGUCUGGACUGCUCUCCAUUUGUAAGUGAUGAGAGCUUUUCCGUGCAGGCAGCCCAACCACUGGAAGGUCAGCAGUCUGAUGCUGGCUUCAAAACCACGAGAUUGGUAAGUUAGAGGACAGCAUUUUAAAGUUAAAUUUCGUAACUUGUGAUAUUGUAAUUGUUUUCUGAUCAGUUAUGGUUGUCACUAUCAACUACGUUUUCCUCUUUUGUUCUUCUCUCCUUCCCCUUCCAUUUCCCUAUAUCUGUUGUCAACCAUUUACUAUAGUGGUAAAACUGCUUUUUUGCAGAAUUUUGUUACAACAGAAUGUUGGCUCUUGGAGUAUUUCUGAUACAGUUCCUGAUGAAAAGAUUAAGUAUUGAAUUCAGUGAGGCAGUUCCAAGCAGGUUUUUACAUUAUUUGAAUAGAACCAAAGCCUGCUUACUUGACUCCCCUGGAACAAAAGAAAUUUCAGUAUUUUCUGGGACUGUCACUGAAUGGUAUAUCCAUUGUCAAAGUCUAUGGUACUCGCUUCUGUCUUUGGAAAUCUUUAGACCUCACAUAAAUGAACACCUCACAGAAAUAUAUGUCGCAUAUUUAGCAGUGGAGAGAUGCUAUAGCUCGAUGACAGAGCCACUCUUUGAAAAGGUUCUCACCAUGUGUUCCCAAGAGACACAUCUCAUUAAAAUGAAAUGCAAGGAAAGCACGAACAUAUCGAGAAUAGUGGUCAGUGUAUUUCAAAGGCAACAGGCUACGCCAAGAAAAACAUUGUAGUCAUGCUUCCAGCUUAAAACAACAUUUGAAAAGCAUACUGAAAAACUUUCUACUUCAGUUUCAGUUGAGUGCCAGUGUGAGUUUUCAGGCUUAAGUACUUAUCUGAACACGUUACAGAAAAUAUAGAGUUAAGAAAAAACUGUCCUAAUAUUGGACCACUUUUGCUAUCUAGGCUGCUUGAAAAAUAGGUUUUUCUUCAAGAGAGAGCAGGAAGAAGGACCUAGAAAAUAGCUUUUAAAAAGAAUUACUUUUAUUUUUUAAAAAGGGGGAGUCUAAAUUGGAGAAACAAGUCAAUCACAUCUAUAUGCAAUAAUGGAUCACGUAUUAUCCUUUUGGAAACGGUUGAAAACCUAAAAAAGAAAUUCAUUUUCCUUACAAUAGUAGUAGCUAACUGGAAAGCUGGUGAUGAAAACCCUUGUUUUAGGCAUAACAGUCUUAGCUGUAGAGUCUUUUUAACAACAUUACAGAGCAGCUACAUACUGUAUGAAGUCUGUUCUGCUAAAUAUUGCUUCUUUGAGAAAUUAUUAGCAGAAUAAGUAUGGCACAGAAUUGAUAAAAAAACCAAAUCAAAAUAAAUGUUCUUUUAGAACACAUUUGUGUGGAUAAUCAGGGAAAACAGUACGAACCGGAAAGGAAUGAACAGGAAGAAUGAAAGGGAUGGUAGUAAAGCUGUCUGGUUUAGGUGACUUCUAGCAAAAGAUGACAUCCAAAAUACCUAGUUAAUUUGGAGGGGAACUAACUACAAACCAGCUGAACUGAGUGGUACUCAGAAGUAAAUAUAAAGGCGUGUGUUUCUGAUCAGUCCUGUGUUGCCAUCUGUCCCUGCUGAAGAGAGCAUAGCAACCCUUAGCAGCUCUGCAUGGCUGCCUGCUUGGGCCAUUACCUGAGCAUCUGUUUUGUUUGUUGGAUUUCAGUGUUCCCACCAGUGACAGAGAGUACAGAACUCUAGAAGGAGUACCUGUAUAAAUUAAGGAAUAACCUGUCUAACAGGAGGGGAAGGAGGGAUGCUGCUCUUCUAUUGCUCCUAUACAUUACGCUGUCCACCCCAGACACUCAACUUGUUUUUCACUUUGGCUGCACAUUUAGUUUCUUGAGCUGUGUCUCUGUGUGCUAAUUCAAGCUGGAAAACUGGAUGUUAUUCUAUGUAAUUGGUUCCAUUUAUUUCUAAAGAUGAGAGGUGUGAGCUUCUGGGUUUUACAUGGUGACGUGAGAUGUGCUGGUAGAUGUAGGUUACAGCUGUGCAUUGAGCCCCAAUGGAGCACGGAUCCCAGCACACUCCAGACUGUCCAGCUUCAACAGAACAAAACUUUAGCUGUCCUGUCUGCAGCAGGGUUUUGCGAUGUGCUAGAGAAAAUAAAACCAAAGCACUGGAAGGGGGCAGUAAAUGAAAUUUCUGUUUUAAGUUUCACAGCCAAACUAAAAUGUUCUGAAGAAUAACGAACUAAACUAAUUUCUGGAAAUUGUUUAGUGCUUCCAAAUGACACUGCAUGUUGACUUCCUUUUUCUGGAAAGUGCCUGAAGUUUCUUAAGCUGCCUGAUGGGAGGCAAUGGAAGCCCUCACUCCCGUUGGCAGCUAUGUCAGGGGAAAAUGUAGGUAUUCUUCAAAGACCAAUCUCAUCCUCCCUCUCUUUUUACUAGGCUGCUUUCUGCAUUGGGUAUCAAUGAGUCACAUUACCUUCUAGAAAACAAAACAAAAAAACAGCCGGACUAAUUUCAAAACCUGCCAUUGGAGAAAUAAUGUGUGAAGACCUUCUGACUGGAGAUGGAGGAAGGAAGGAAAAGGCUGUGCACUUUUCAACAUGACCGUGAAGAGGAAUUGCCAUUCUCUAGCCUUGCUCAGCCUGAACGUGUGCUUCAUGAGAACAUCUGUCUCAUGAAGGUGCUUGUUCAGGAGUGGUAGCUGAAGCCCAACUCCAAUCCAUAGUGGUAUCUAUGGCCUGAAAUGCCAAUCCUACCCACAUAAGGUGAUACCACCAAGUAUCUGACUGGUUGCCAUAGUGUAGGUAGGUGGAUCGUGGGCACCUACUGCUGCUUUCGCCACUGAGGUGGUAGUUGUGGUUGUGGUGUCUUCUCCACUUGUGCCAAAGAAUUGCUUUUGCAGAUCCUCCAGAUCUACUGUGUGCACAGGAUGGAAAGGUAAACCAUUCGUACCAUCUAUAUUCUCAGUAUCUCUCUGCAUCCUGAUCCUAGAGGAAGCAAUGUUUAAAAGCAUUGGAAAAAAAAAAAAGUCUUCUUAAUUAAAAAUUAAUUUAAAAUCUUAUUAAGCCUCUUUGGCCUUAGCAAUACUGAGGGAAAAAAACGCCAGCACUAAUUUUGCAGAAAACAGUUGUGUUUAAUAACAUGGUAAUUUGUCACAAAUUUCUGCCCUUGCCCAUUCCAAGGACAAAAUGAGGUUUAACACUGAAAUAGUUAGAAAACAUUUUACCUCAUACAUUUUAACACUGCAUUUUCCCAGUAUAGUGCUGGGCUUAGGUAUUCUAAUUUUAUCUUCAGUAAUUGGUUCCUAAUUUUAUUGUUGUGGCUGUUGCUCCCUGAGGGCGUUUGGAAAUGAGAUUCAGCAUUAAAAAAAACCCUUAGCUGAAACAGACUUUUAAUAAUGAAAUCAAUGAAAGGAGCAUUCCUAACUAUAAAACCGGAGCAUAGGUACAUAAAUAAUCGUUACAAUUUGUUUAGUGCUGAGUUUUCCAGCCCUGUUGCAUUUAACCAUUUUUAUUGUCCUGAGGAUAUUCUGUGCAGAUCUUUGGAAAGGCUGAUGGAUGGCAUUUUUUCAACCAAAGCGUUUUUCAGAUGUGGUACAGUCCACAGGAAACCUUUUGAAAUAGAAGAGGACUGUGGCAGCCAGCGCAGCAUUGUGAUGUUAUGACCAAAGAGCUGUUUUGAAGAAUGAGAGACAUUUCUUCUGAUAGGGAAAUAGCUGAUACUUACCCUUCACUUCUGUGGGAAAGCUGGUGGCUUCAGGUGGGAGGAGGUAUGUCUGUGGGACUCUGGGAUUCCCUCUGAGAUGGCCAGGUGCUCCCAUCCCUGGGUGCCCUUCUCCACAUCAGCAGAGAAGAUCAACAGAGAUGUCCGUGAGGAUUGCAUCUGCAGACCUCUUCCAUUCCCAUGUCUGUAGAUUACUCAGAUAGGAUAAUGUGUUUAAAAAAGGAUUAUCUUGCAGGGUCUUGUUUGCCAAAUAUCAGCCUGGAGCAAGUUUUUACAGCUGAGUUACAAUGACCUGAUAGCAGUGUUUAUGAUAGAAAUGGUGCCAACUACUUGGUACCAGCGGCGCGCUGGUCGCUUAGUCACUGAAAGACUUUGUUGUCAGAAUCACUUUUUAUUUUGCAAAUGGGAAUAUGUGUGGUGAAUAGUGCUCGGUGCCUCUAAGCGCAGAGGCUCCGCGCUGGUUAGCGGUUAGCCAGCCCCACAGGCACUGCCUGCAAGCAUCCCCACGCAGUGCUGCCAGGAACAACAGCGGCUGACGCUUGCACAGCACUUUUCCUCUUUGGGCUGAUCACGGGACGCACUGCACAUGAGCUGUGGGUGCUGCAGAGCUGCUACUGCGGCUGUCUGGCAGCUCAGGGCAGGAGGGGUCAUGGUGGUAAGCAGGACCAUGUGCUGCCCACCACUCCUGCAUGUGCCCUCUAGUAGGGGACGCAGCACAGCCCAAUGCAGGCACUCAUUGCUUACUGGGGAUCGCUACCACACUGCCUGCCUGGAGAUUCAACUCCUUUAUCCUAUGAACAGACAUCUUUAUUGGGAGAGUUUUUAUUCACCUGGUCUAGCACAGCAGUUCCCUCAGCUCUUUUUACUACUUUUCAUGUCACUGGGGCAGAGAGUGGGAAUUUGUUCCUUUAAGGAGAGUAGUUUUUGAUCCUGAUCUGAUUUCCCACAGUUGGGUAGAGAAUAC
rnacentral:lncRNA from 1 species